rnacentral:rRNA from 1 species
UACGUAGGGUGCGAGCGUUAAUCGGAAUUACUGGGCGUAAAGCGUGCGCAGGCGGUUAUAUAAGACAGUUGUGAAAUCCCCGGGCUUAACCUGGGAACUGCAUCUGUGACUGUAUAGCUAGAGUACGGCAGAGGGGGGUAGAAUUCCACGUGUAGCAGUGAAAUGCGUAGAUAUGUGGAGGAAUACCGAUGGCGAAGGCAGCCCCCUGGGAUAACACUGACGCUCAUGCACGAAAGCGUGGGGAGCAAACAGGAUUAGAUACCCUGGUAGUCCACGCCCUAAACGAUGUCAACUGGUUGUUGGGUCUUCACUGACUCAGUAACGAAGCUAACGCGUGAAGUUGACCGCCUGGGGAGUACGGCCGCAAGGUUG